AUGGUUGAGAUGAAGGAAAUGCAGGGACAGUCAUUACUUCCGCAACUGCAAAGAUCGGUAGGACUGAAAGUAACAAGCCCUUUUUAUGGGCAUAUCAGUGGAAAUGACCAUCUGUACAUCCCUUUCAGAAGUAGGUUGUUAGUUACACCUCUCACUUUUAGUAAGCAUAAUCAGAAAUGUGCUAAGCAUAGAUGCAUUAGUAUCAGUGACCAGUUAAAACAUGGUAAGAUUCUCUGGUUUUUUCACCUCUGCAGUUUAUACCUUUCUUUUUUGAUGGAUAUAGGACAAAUUCGUUGUUGGAUGCAUGAGCAUGCUUGUGACCAAGAAUACAAUUCAAGAGGGGUAUGCAAAUUAAAGUGCCCAAGUGAUUGCUCAAGAGGCCUCAUGCAUCCAAACUGCAACAUCACUGGAAAGAAAAAGGCGUACGUCCACACUCCACACACGCGCUUGUGCAUCACAACUGUUCGGCCAUGA
rnacentral:rRNA from 1 species